rnacentral:rRNA from 1 species
GACGAACGCUGGCGGCGUGCCUAAUACAUGCAAGUAGAACGCUGAAGGAGGAGCUUGCUUCUCUGGAUGAGUUGCGAACGGGUGAGUAACGCGUAGGUAGCCUGCCUGGUAGCGGGGGAUAACUAUUGGAAACGAUAGCUAAUACCGCAUAAUAGUAGAUGUUGCAUGACAUUUGCUUAAAAGGUGCAAUUGCAUCACUACCAGAUGGACCUGCGUUGUAUUAGCUAGUUGGUGGGGUAACGGCUCACCAAGGCGACGAUACAUAGCCGACCUGAGAGGGUGAGCGGCCACACUGGGACUGAGACACGGCCCAGACUCCUACGGGAGGCAGCAGUAGGGAAUCUUCGGCAAUGGACGGAAGUCUGACCGAGCAACGCCGGGUGAGUGAAGAAGGUUUUCGGGUCGUAAAGCUCUGUUGUAAGAGAAGAACGAGUGUGAGAGUGGAAAGUUCACACUGUGACGGUAUCUUACCAGAAAGGGACGGCUAACUACGUG